UCCCAGGCCCGGGAACGUAUUCACCGUGGCAUUCUGAUCCACGAUUACUAGCGAUUCCGACUUCAUGGAGUCGAGUUGCAGACUCCAAUCCGGACUACGACGCACUUUAUGAGGUCCGCUUGCUCUCGCGAGGUCGCUUCUCUUUGUAUGCGCCAUUGUAGCACGUGUGUAGCCCUACUCGUAAGGGCCAUGAUGACUUGACGUCAUCCCCACCUUCCUCCAGUUUAUCACUGGCAGUCUCCUUUGAGUUCCGGCCGGACCGCUGGCAACAAAGGAUAAGGGUUGCGCUCGUUGCGGGACUUAACCCAACAUUUCACAACACGAGCUGACGACAGCCAUGCAGCACCUGUCUCAGAGUUCCCGAAGGCACCAAUCCAUCUCUGGAAAGUUCUCUGGAUGUCAAGAGUAGGUAAGGUUCUUCGCGUGCAUCGAAUUAAACCACAUGCUCCACCGCUUGUGCGGGCCCCCGUCAAUUCAUUUAAU
rnacentral:rRNA from 1 species